rnacentral:rRNA from 1 species
UAGCUAGUUGGUAGGGUAAUGGCCUACCAAGGCGACGAUGGGUAGCCGGCCUGAGAGGGUGGCCGGCCACACUGGGACUGAGACACGGCCCAGACUCCUACGGGAGGCAGCAGUGGGGAAUUUUGCGCAAUGCUCGUAAGAGUGACGCAGCGACGCCGCGUGAAUGACGAAGGCCUUCGGGUCGUAAAGUUCCUUCGACAGGGAAGAAAAUGCCUAUAAGUAACUGUGUAUGUAUUGACGGUACCUGUAUAAGCAGCCCCGGCUAACUCCGUGCCAGCAGCCGCGGUAAUACGGAGGGGGCGAGCGUUGUUCGGAGUGACUGGGCGUAAAGAGCGCGUAGGCGGUGUUGUAAGUCAUUAGUCAAAGACUAGAGCUCAACUUUAGUAAGGCUAGUGAUACUAUAAUACUAGAGUAUCAGAGAGGAUUGCAGAAUUCCUGGUGUAGCGGUGAAAUGCGUAGAUAUCAGGAGGAAUACCGUUAGCGAAGGCGGCAAUCUGGCUGGAAACUGACGCUGAGGUGCGAAAGCGUGGGUAGCAAACAGGAUUAGAUACCCUGGUAGUCCACGCUGUAAACGAUGGAUGCUAGGUGUUGGGCUUUUAAGUUCA